UCCGUCCUUCCCCGAUCCAAAUCCCCCACGUGCCGUCCACCUUCUGCCGCGCCACCGCCACCCCGCCUCCGUCCACCUUCUGUCGCGCCAUCGCCGUCUCGCCCUGACCCCGUCCACCUUCUGCCGCGCCGCCGCCGUCUCGCCCCGCCCCCGUCCACCUUCUGCCAUCCCGCGCCACGCACCACGGCCCCCGCCGCCGCCGGUCACCGUCAGGCGCAACCAAACCCAUCCUCUCCACCUCCUAGGAGCUCCCAUGGCCACCCCUUCCCCCUCCAGAGCUCACAUCGCGAGUUUUGGAUCCAGCGGCCACCACCCCUCAUCUCCCCGUCUGGGCUUCCCUCCACCUCCCACCGCCACCAAAGCGCCAGCCGAUGAUGGAUCUGCUGCCCGACCAUGGAUCCAAGCCGGCAACCGCCCCCUACGCGCCUCCUGGCCAUGGAUCUGUGCUGGCUACCUGCCCGAUCCCGCGACUCCGGUGGCUGCUCAUCCAAAUCGCCAGGGACACCCCCCCUCCUCACGGCUGGCAUACCGAUUCCCGCAUGUGUGCUGCAACGAGGCGGCAUGUGUGCUGCAACGAGGCGGCCGGCGAGCUGCCUCCUCCCGGCCGUGGUCAUGCUCCAUGUUUGGGCCCCUGUCUUCAUGCAGAAUUGAUUUGGGCACAGCGCUGUAGUUCGCUUGGGGUGUCAGUGAUGUGCAGUUCGUCGUCGUGGGCGCGGCGUGGAGCGGGAGCCUAAAAAGCCAUGGCCACCCCUCCUCCCCUCCCACCCCAUCCCCCUACCCCAUCUCACCCACCACCAUGAUGUGCAGGCACCAGGAGGCCACCUACGUUCCUCUCUCGAUCUUCUCUGCAGCUGAGCACAAAAAGCGCCUCCCAGUGAGCACCGGCUCCGGCCUUGGGAUAUCAACCCUCCCUCUAUCAUGAAUCCUCGGUGGGGCAGCAUGGUGAUGCAGUUCGGCAUACACGCACGUGCAGCACGGUUGUGGCGGCGAGGCAGCUCGUGUAGUUCCUUCAGCUAGUAGAGCGUCGGCCUUAGUUUAGAUUUUUUUUCAGGUUUUGCUAAUGCAGUGCGGUGUGAAAUUCAACUGUGUGUAUGCGAGCGUCAACGAGCCUCCAGAAGUAGUUCUUUGCUCAACUUGUUGCGGUUCCCUGGCGGCGGGAGAGAAGUGCACUGCUCUAGGGUGCUCUCCUUCAAGGGGGGAAGCAAAAAUGCUACACUUACGGGCAGCACACAAGCAAAUUAACUUACGGACUACCUCCUAACCAAUCCCUUGCGAGCAGCCCCUGAUUUAUAGUGUGGGCCCUGCUGCCCUUUGUUUUCCAAUUAACCAUUGCCAAAUCAGUCCGUAACUUGCUUUCCGUGGGAUAUGUCCGUAAGUCUAGCAUAGUUGAACAAGUUCAAUACGUACUGAAAAAGAGUGCACUUCAUAAACAAGUUUUUUUUUUGCGUUUUCAUAAGAAUUUAAUGUGUGCAGGUACACCACAGUGCACAGCCCAUUCGGGUUCAGUUCACUAGUUGAAAAAAAUCACCGUCCUUCAGUUUUAGUGUUGCAGUGCACUGUAAAAAAGCGUUGUGUUUUAAUCUGUACAAAACGUUCCAUUUGAAAAUAAAAAAUAAAUUAGGCAGUUCACUCCAUCUGCCAUGGUGAUUUACGAUUUUUUUUGAAAAAAGAACAGUGCAGUACACUUGGCCUAGGUUCAGCUUUUUAAAAAAGAGCAGUGCGGUUCACUCGUCGACCGUCUGAUGCAGUGCCUUUUUAGUUGGAAGAAGUUCUAUUGGAUGCCCCAUUACUCAAUUUUGUUGUUGUUGAAAAGUGCACUUCAUUAGUUCAAUGUAAAAACUGCAGUUCAUUACCGUGAUUUGGCUGGUGGAGAGUGCAGAUUUUGUAUGCUAUAAAACUCCUCUGUUGUCCACUUGGUAAACACAAAACAAAAAGAUCUCAAAAUGAA